rnacentral:rRNA from 1 species
ACUCAAAGGAAUUGACGGGGGCCCGCACAAGCGGUGGAGCAUGUGGUUCAAUUCGAUGCAGAGCGAAGAACCUUACCUGGGCUUGACAUGCCGGGAGUAGAAACCCGAAAGGGGGACGACCCGUUAAGUCGGGAAUCGGCACAGGUGGUGCAUGGCUGUCGUCAGCUCGUGCCGUGAGGUGUUGGGUUAAGUCCCGCAACGAGCGCAACCCUCACCCCAUGUUGCCAUCAGGUAAUGCUGGGCACUCUUGGGGAACUGCCGGCGAUGAGCUGGAGGAAGGAGGGGAUGACGUCAAGUCAGUAUGCCCCUUAUGUCCAGGGCGACACACAUGCUACAAUGGCCGGUACAGAGGGUCGCAAACCCGCGAGGGGGAGCCAAUCCCAGAAAGCCGGUCUCAGUUCGGAUUGCAGGCUGCAACUCGCCUGCAUGAAGUCGGAAUCGCUAGUAAGCGCAGAUCAGCAGGCUGCGCUGAAUACGUUCCCGGGCCUUGCACACACCGCCCGU